rnacentral:antisense_RNA from 1 species
UUUCACCGACCCCAGCAGCAGCGGCUGGUCGGCCGGCCUGUCCUGCCCGUACGUCGCCAGCAGCGCCUGUGCCUC